rnacentral:rRNA from 1 species
GACGAACGCUGGCGGCGUGCUUAACACAUGCAAGUCGAACGGGCCCGCCCCUGUUUUUGGGGGUGGGUUGAGUGGCGAACGGGUGAGUAUCACGUGAGUAACCUGCCCCCUGCUCCUGGAUAACUGCUUGAAAGGGCGGCUAAUACGGGGUGUGCCGGCUGGUCCGCAUGGGCCUGGUCGGGAUAGUUUCAUCUUCGGGUGUUUCGGUGGGGGAUGGGCUCGCGGCCUAUCAGCUUGUUGGUGGGGUGAUGGCCCACCAAGGCGGUGACGGGUAGCCGGCCUGAGAGGGUGGGCGGCCACACUGGGACUGAGACACGGCCCAGACUCCUGCGGGAGGCAGCAGUGGGGGUAUUGCACAAUGGGCGGAAGCCUGAUGCAGCGACGUCGCGUGAGGGAUGGAGGCCUUCGGGUUGUGAACCUCUUUCUCCGGUGGUGAAGGCCCUGUCCGUUGCGGCGGGGUUGACGGUAGCCGGGUAUGAAGCGCCGGCUAACUACGUG